UACGUAGGGUGCGAGCGUUAAUCGGAAUUACUGGGCGUAAAGCGUGCGCAGGCGGUUUUGUAAGUCUGUCGUGAAAUCCCCGGGCUCAACCUGGGAAUUGCGAUGGAGACUGCAAGGCUAGAAUCUGGCAGAGGGGGGUAGAAUUCCACGUGUAGCAGUGAAAUGCGUAGAGAUGUGGAGGAACACCGAUGGCGAAGGCAGCCCCCUGGGUCAAGGAUUGACGCUCAUGCACGAAAGCGUGGGGAGCAAACAGGGAUUAGAAACCCAGUAGUCCAGACCAAUCGUAGUCGACCUAC
rnacentral:rRNA from 1 species